UGUUCAAUUACUUUUUUUGGUCUCUUUCGCUUGGAGAUUUUCAUACUUUGACCAGAUGACAGAUAAUGGUGUCUUUCUCCUUGUUACUUUUUUUAUUAUUGAAGAAGGUCCUGGUUUGUCAUUGACUUCAUCACUUAAUUUAUUAUAGGCCAGAUGUUGUUAACAAGGAAACUGAUAUAUCAGUCAGCAUUUCAGUAAUUAUGUAGCUUCCUUUUGUGUAAGAUUAGAUUGUGAAGAAGAAUUUCACUAAUAUAUCUUUUUUCUGUUCAAGGAGAAAUGUCAAUUUUAGUGUCUCCUUGCAUAAACCUCCUAAUGUAUGAGUUGUAAAUCCGUUCUUGAUAUACUAAUUCUUUGGAUCACGAGAAGGUGGAACCUUAUGGGAAAGUGCAUGAAGUCGGCUAAAGAACUGAAGAAACACACCUUCUGUGGGGACUCAUGAGAAAAACCAGGAUGACUCCACUUCCAGCACCUUCUGUGGGGAUUAGAUUGAACUUAAUGUGAUAUUUUCGUAGAAGCUCCUCCAUUUCAAGUUGUGAAAAUGUGAAGAAUAUCCCACAUUGGAAAGUUGAGAAACCUAGCAAGGGCUUAUAAGGAGUUGGGCUACUCCUCCCAUUGCCAAUUGGUUUUGGGGUGGAACCUCAACUUCCUUCACAAGUCAUUUAAGUUUUUGCACAAACCAAAAUCCCAACUAAUUGGAGAAGAAUUUAGGCACAUUGUAGCAAUGGGAGCAUUAUGAAAGACCAAAAGACAAGGAUAUGGGAUGUAUAAAGAAUCCCAUGGACAGCACACACCUCGAACCACUGACCACACUCUUGGAAUCACAACCACUGUCAUGUUAGCAGCACUUAAUAACCAUAUCACCAUUUCCCAAGUAAGCCCAUAUUUCUUCUCACCAAUCACCCACCCCUAAGCCUCUCUUCUCUUUGAUUCUAAA